GGAACUGAGACACGGUCCAGACUCCUACGGGAGGCAGCAGUGGGGAAUCUUGCGCAAUGGGCGAAAGCCUGACGCAGCAACGCCGCGUGAGUGAUGAAGGCUUUCGGGUCGUAAAGCUCUGUCAAGGGGAAAGAAAUGCUUAGCGGUUAAUACCCGUUAUGCUUGACGGUACCCCUAAAGGAAGCACCGGCUAACUCCGUGCCAGCAGCCGCGGUAAUACGGAGGGUGCGAGCGUUGUUCGGAAUUAUUGGGCGUAAAGCGCGUGUAGGCGGUUUGGUAAGUCUGAUGUGAAAGCCCUGGGCUCAACCCGGGAAGUGCAUUGGAAACUGUCAGACUUGAAUACGGGAGAGGGUAGUGGAAUUCCUGGUGUAGGAGUGAAAUCCGUAGAUAUCAGGAGGAACACCGGUGGCGAAGGCGGCUGCCUGGACCGAUAUUGACGCUGAGACGCGAAAGCGUGGGUAGCAAACAGGAUUAGAUACCCUGGUAGUCCACGCCGUAAACGAUGAGUACUAGGUGUUGCGGGUAUUGACCCCUGCAGUGCCGCAGCUAACGCAUUAAGUACUCCGCCUGGGAAGUACGGUCGCAAGACUAAA
rnacentral:rRNA from 1 species